CUACGGAGGAGGCAAGCGUUAUCCGGAAUGAUUGGGCGUAAAGAGUUCGUAGGUGGUAAUGAAAGUUUGCCGUUAAAGACUAAGGCUUAACCUUAGGAGAGCGGUGAAAACUACAUAACUAGAGUAUGGAAGGGGCAGAGGGAAUUCUUGGUGCAGCGGUGAAAUGCGUAGAGAUCAAGAGGAACAUCGGUGGCGAAAGCGCUCUGCUAGGCCAAAACUGACACUGAGGAACGAAAGCUAGGGGAGCGAAAGGGAUUAGAUACCCCUGUAGUCCUAGCCGUAAACGAUGGAUACUAGGUGUGGCUUGUAUCGACCCGAGCCGUGC
rnacentral:rRNA from 1 species